CACGCCGUAAACGAUGGAUGCUAGCUGUAAGAGGUAUCGACCCCUCUUGUAGCGAAGCUAACGCGUUAAGCAUCCCGCCUGUGGAGUACGGUCGCAAGACUAAAACAUAAAGGAAUUGAC
rnacentral:rRNA from 1 species